CUGAUCCAGCCAUGCCGCGUGUGUGAAGAAGGCCUUCGGGUUGUAAAGCACUUUCAGCGGGGAGGAAGGUGCUCUGGUUAAUACCUGGGGCCAUUGACGUUACCCGCAGAAGAAGCACCGGCUAACUCCGUGCCAGCAGCCGCGGUAAUAAA
rnacentral:rRNA from 1 species